CACGCUGGCGGCGUGCCUAACACAUGCAAGUCGAACGAGAAAGUGGAGCAAUCCAUGAGUAAAGUGGCGACCGGGUGAGUAACACGUGACUAACCUACCUCCGAGUGGGGAAUAACUCCGGGAAACCGGGGCUAAUACCGCAUAACAUCGCAAGAUCAAAGCAGCAAUGCGCUUGGAGAGGGGGUCGCGGCUGAUUAGCUCGUUGGCGGGGUAACGGCCCACCAAGGCGAAGAUCGGUAUCCGGCCUGAGAGGGCGCACGGACACACUGGAACUGAAACACGGUCCAGACUCCUACGGGAGGCAGCAGUGGGGAAUUUUGCGCAAUGGGGGAAACCCUGACGCAGCAACGCCGCGUGGAGGAUGAAGCCCUUUGGGGCGUAAACUCCUUUCGACUCGGACGAUAAUGACGGUACGAGUGGAAGAAGCACCGGCUAACUCUGUGCCAGCAGCCGCGGUAAUACAGAGGGUGCGAGCGUUGUUCGGAAUUAUUGGGCGUAAAGGGCGCGUAGCGGUGCGGUAAGUCACCUGUGAAAUCUCCUGGCUUACUGGGAGCCUGCAGGCGAAACUACCGUGCUGGAGUGUGGGA
rnacentral:rRNA from 1 species